GGGGGGGGGGGGGGGGGGGGCGGGGGGGGGGAGGGCGGGGGGGCGGACGGGGAGCUGGGGGCUGGGGUGUUGGCGGCGGGGGGGUGGGUAACAGGUGGAUAACCUACCUAUAAGACGGGGAGAACUUCGGGAAACCGGAGCUAAUACCGGAUAAUAUUUUGAACCGCAUGGUUCACAAGUGAAAGCCGGUCGUGCUGUCCCUUAUAGCUGGAUCCGCGCUGCAUUAGCUAGUUGGUAAGGUACCGGCUUACCAAGGCAACGAUGCAUAGCCGACCUGAGAGGGGGAUAGGCCACACUGGAACUGAGACACGGUCCAGACUCCUACGGGAGGCAGCAGUAGGGAAUCUUCCGCAAUGGGCGAAAGCCUGACGGAGCAACGCCGCGUGAGUGAUGAAGGUCUUCGGAUCGUAAAACUCUGUUAUUAGGGAAGAACAUAUGUGUAAGUAACUGUGCACAUCUUGACGGUACCUAAUCAGAAAGCCACGGCUAACUACGUG
rnacentral:rRNA from 1 species